CAUGCAGUCGAGCGGAACGAAGAGGAGCUUGCUCCUUUGGCGCUCGAGCGGCGGACGGGUGAGUAAUGCUUGGGAAUGUGCCUUAUGGUGGGGGACAACAGUUGGAAACGACUGCUAAUACCGCAUAAUGUCUUCGGACCAAAGUGGGGGACCUUCGGGCCUCACGCCAUAAGAUCAGCCCAAGUGGGAUUAGCUAGUUGGUAAGGUAAUGGCUUACCAAGGCGACGAUCCCUAGCUGGUUUGAGAGGAUGAUCAGCCACACUGGGACUGAGACACGGCCCAGACUCCUACGGGAGGCAGCAGUGGGGAAUAUUGCACAAUGGGCGCAAGCCUGAUGCAGCCAUGCCGCGUGUGUGAAGAAGGCCUUCGGGUUGUAAAGCACUUUCAGUAAGGAGGAAAGGUUAMGUGUUAAUAGCACUUAGCUGUGACGUUACUUACAGAAGAAGCACCGGCUAACUCCGUGCCAGCAGCCGCGGUAAUACGGAGGGUGCGAGCGUUAAUCGGAAUUACUGGGCGUAAAGCGUACGCAGGCGGUUUGUUAAGCGAGAUGUGAAAGCCCCGGGCUCAACCUGGGAACUGCAUUUCGAACUGGCAAACUAGAGUGUGAUAGAGGGUGGUAGAAUUUCAGGUGUAGCGGUGAAAUGCGUAGAGAUCUGAAGGAAUACCGAUGGCGAAGGCAGCCACCUGGGUCAACACUGACGCUCAUGUACGAAAGCGUGGGAGCAAACAGGAUUAGAUACCCUGGUAGUCCACGCCGUAAACGAUGUCUACUAGAAGCUCGACUCUUCGGAGUUGUUUUUCAAAGCUAACGCAUUAAGUAGACCGCCUGGGGAGUACGGCCGCAAGGUUAAAACUCAAAUGAAUUGACGGGGGCCCGCACAAGCGGUGGAGCAUGUGGUUUAAUUCGAUGCAACGCGAAGAACCUUACCUACACUUGACAUACAGCGAACUUACUAGAGAUAGUUUGGUGCCUUCGGGAACGCUGAUACAGGUGCUGCAUGGCUGUCGUCAGCUCGUGUUGUGAGAUGUUGGGUUAAGUCCCGCAACGAGCGCAACCCCUAUCCUUAGUUGCCAGCGAUUCGGUCGGGAACUCUAAGGAGACUGCCGGUGAUAAACCGGAGGAAGGUGG
rnacentral:rRNA from 1 species